rnacentral:rRNA from 1 species
GAUGAACGCUGGCGGCGUGCUUAACACAUGCAAGUCGAACGGUGAAGCUCCAGCUUGCUGGAGUGGAUCAGUGGCGAACGGGUGAGUAACACGUGAGCAACCUGCCCCUGACUCUGGGAUAACAGCCGGAAACGGCUGCUAAUACCGGAUAUGCACCAUGAACGCAUGUUCUGUGGUGGGAAAGAUUUUUCGGUUGGGGAUGGGCUCGCGGCCUAUCAGCUUGUUGGUGAGGUAAUGGCUCACCAAGGCGUCGACGGGUAGCCGGCCUGAGAGGGUGACCGGCCACACUGGGACUGAGACACGGCCCAGACUCCUACGGGAGGCAGCAGUGGGGAAUAUUGUACAAUGGGCGGAAGCCUGAUGCAGCAACGCCGCGUGAGGGAUGACGGCCUUCGGGUUGUAAACCUCUUUUAGCAGGGAAGAAGCGAGAGUGACGGUACCUGCAGAAAAAGCGCCGGCUAACUACGUG